rnacentral:rRNA from 1 species
UGUAUAAUGGGUCAGCGACUUAUAUUCUGUAGCAAGGUUAACCGAAUAGGGGAGCCGAAGGGAAACCGAGUCUUAACUGGGCGUUAAGUUGCAGGGUAUAGACCCGAAACCCGGUGAUCUAGCCAUGGGCAGGUUGAAGGUUGGGUAACACUAACUGGAGGACCGAACCGACUAAUGUUGAAAAAUUAGCGGAUGACUUGUGGCUGGGGGUGAAAGGCCAAUCAAACCGGGAGAUAGCUGGUUCUCCCCGAAAGCUAUUUAGGUAGCGCCUCGUGAAUUCAUCUCCGGGGGUAGAGCACUGUUUCGGCAAGGGGGUCAUCCCGACUUACCAACCCGAUGCAAACUGCGAAUACCGGAGAAUGUUAUCACGGGAGACACACGGCGGGUGCUAACGUCCGUCGUGAAGAGGGAAACAACCCAGACCGCCAGCUAAGGUCCCAAAGUCAUGGUUAAGUGGGAAACGAUGUGGGAAGGCCCAGACAGCCAGGAUGUUGGCUUAGAAGCAGCCAUCAUUUAAAGAAAGCGUAAUAGCUCACUGGUCGAGUCGGCCUGCGCGGAAGAUGUAACGGGGCUAAACCAUGCACCGAAGCUGCGGCAGCGACACUAUG